rnacentral:snoRNA from 1 species
AAACCGUGGUGAGGACAUUCUCUAAUGUAGCCUUUAUAAUGAUCCUAAGCUUCAUGAAAAGGUUUGCUUCCUUUUUGUUGGAAUCUAUAUAUCUUGUAUCUAAAGAAGUUU